CAUACUCGGGGAUAGCCUCUCGAAAGAAAGAUUAAUAUCCGAUAGCAUAUAUUUCCCGCAUGGGUUUUAUAUUAAAGAAAUUCGGUAUGAGAUGGGGAUGCGUUCCAUUAGUUUGUUGGGGGGGUAACGGCCCACCAAGACUACGAUGGAUAGGGGUUCUGAGAGGAAGGUCCCCCACAUUGGAACUGAGACACGGUCCAA
rnacentral:rRNA from 1 species